GUUGAGGGCAACAGGAAAUACAUUGAUUAGUAGUUGCCCUCAAUGCAUUGUGUUUCCUUAAUAUAAAUGAACAUUUACCGGAGCGGUACCGCCAAGAAGAAGGCCUGGUGCUGCUUUACUUAUAACAUAUUUCCAAGGUGGAAAUGCUCCUUAAAAUCCCAGUGAUCAGCAAAGAACAAUUGAUACACUGAAGCAGAAGAUACACACCUUUAAAAGUCUUGUCUGUUCCUUGAAAUCUUCAUCUUCAUCUGAUUCUGCAUCUGGGAGCUGAUAAAUUUUUAUUCCAUGUUCUUCAAUCUCAUCCAAGACCUGAAAUGGGG